UUGCUAUCUGCGAUAUGGAAGAUUCGAACCUGCCGCAGGUUCGGGUCUCACGUAGUGAGACAACGGAGCCGCUUGCGGCGACGGCCCGAAGGGUGAGCAAAGCGAGUCAUCCUGCACGACCCACCA
rnacentral:sRNA from 1 species